AUGGUUUUGGUUUUAAACAGGAAAUUCAGACCAUACUAUGCACAAACUCUGAGUUUCCCAGUGAUAAGUUUCUCAGGAAAAUUUAGUCCUUUUGAGCCCCUCAUUCCUCGGCAGUCUGGUAAAAGCAAGGAUUUGGAUUCCAGCAAGGACAUUUUCAGGAAGAAAGAACAAGCGACUAGCAGCUGCCAUAAUUUGCAAGCACCACGUACUGCAAGUGCCACACGCAGAGGCCUAACUAAGAAAAGUUCAGGCUAUUGUGAGUGCUGCAACAUUGUCUACAAAGACCAGUAUGAGCACUUGGAGUCUGAAAUGCAUCGUUCUUUCAUUCAAAAUGACAGUAACUAUGCUGUAGUAGACCAACUAACAGCUGCCAUGGUUGCUAGCUUUGUUUGUAAACCAAAUCUAGAAGUGGAUCCAACGCUGAUCAAGUCAUCAACAGGAUUCUCUCAAUUACAAUUGAGUAACUUGACUCCAAUGGUGGAGAGUUCUGUCAGCGAGAAUGAAAAAUCUCUUCAGACUACACUUGUUCAAGAAUGUGAUAGUCUACUGGCAAAUGCUGACAACAGAGGACACCCCUUUCCUAAACCUAUCCAGAAUAUGCCUGGUCAACAACAUACAACCUUGCAUCAUACAAUGCAAAACAACUCUCCUGAUCCUCUUGAAAAUGUCAAAUUAGGCCUUUACAUCAGCUGUACCUCAAAGGUUCAGGACUUUCAAUCUGGUGUUUUCUGCAUGGAUAUAGUCCCACAUCACAGUCCUCCAAAAUCCCAGUCAAUAGAGAAGAAACCCAAGAGACUAUCUUCUGUCACACCCUCAGAAGCUCGAUCUAAAAUGCUCACUCUAAGCUCUUCUGUAGACAACAAAAUCCCACGCACCAUCACUGGUGGUAAAAAUCUUCCUGAAACUCAGGAACGAUGUGAAGGUGGUCAAGUUCUACAUGUAUUGCAUAUGCAAAGUGGUCUUAUAGGUGGUGUUCCUAACACAUUCAACUCUCAAAAUCAAAAACAUGAUUGGGAUCAAGGUUUAAAAAUAUUCUCAAACACAACUAAGAUGCUACUCCAGCAAGGUGAAGAUGGUAAUUCUGAAAGUUGUGGCCAGUAUGCGUUGGACCAUAGAAAGCUGCCUUCAACAAAACCAUCACUGAAAUCAGCCAAACAUAUUGUUAGGACUCCAGAGUUUGGAAUCUCUUACUUUUCAUUACCAAAUUUUUUACCAUUCCCACACUUGUCAGAUUACUCAUUUUCUAUGGUUAACUUGAAAAAGCGCUGCAGGUCCUUCACUCAAACUCCAAAACUUGCCAAGAGAAGAAAGAUUAGUCAAAAUGAAAAGCCAAACCCAAUUCAGCCGGUUUGCAGUGCUCCCUGGAUAAGACAGUACUCAUCUGUACUUUCCACCAUGUCAUGUUUACCAGUCUCCAAGGUGGGUUUUACAACAGAGAUGAAUAGUCAAACUGGGGGUAGCAUGUUAGCAGCCCAUAAGUCAUCACUGAAUGAAUCAUCUCUUGUGAAUCAGAUCCCAACGAGGCCUCCCCUAAAAUAUUUUACUCCCAGUACCCACUGUUUGCCUCAUCAAGUUGACCAACAGGACAAUGCUGCAAAGAAACCCUGUGUUAAGCAGUCACAUGAAUUGUCUCCAAUCAAAGAUCCAGUGGAAUCCCGAAUAACCACUUACUCAUCUGAUUUGGAACCUCCUCAGUUGGUUCCUUUUUUCCAUGAAGACCAUCAACUCCAGCGCCAUCGGUUUCAUGAUCCUCCAGAACUGUUACCCUUUUUUAUCCAGACACCUGAAGAUACUUCCCAUACAUCAGUAAGUAAAGCCACAAACAGCUCGUUCCUGUCACACUCCGGAGCCUCUGUUUGCAUUGAAUCAGCUCUCCUCCCUAACCUCACAUGGUCCACAGCCUCCUCUGAGUCGGACUGGGAUUCUGGCCUCUUGUCGUGGUUUACGGCUGGAGUUCCUCUUCAGGCUAAAGGGGGACAUGAUGACCUGGGUCUGUUAUUACAAAAGCCACAUACUGGCAUGCAGGAUGGGAGCUAUACAUCACGGUUGUGCUCCAUACUGCAACCCUCUUGA
rnacentral:lncRNA from 12 species